GCACCCGUAGCUCAGCUGGAUAGAGCGUUGCCCUCCGAAGGCGAAGGCCACACGUUCGAAUCGUGUCGGGUGCGCCA
rnacentral:tRNA from 1 species